rnacentral:rRNA from 1 species
UGGGCUCGCGGCCGGUAGAAGUUCUUUGGAACAGGACAUCAUAGAGGGUGACAAUCCCGUCUGCGACCGGUCGUGCGUUCAUCUACGAUACGCUUUCAAAGAGUCGAGUUGUUUGGGAUUGCAGCUCCAGAUGGGUGGUAAACAUCACCUAAGGCUAAAUAUUGGCGAGAGACCGAUAGCGAGCAAGUACCGUGAGGGAAAGAUGAAAAGAACUUUGAAAAGAGAGUUAAACAGUACGUGAAAUUGUUGAAAGGGAAACGAUUGAAGUCAGUCGUGCUGGCGCGAAAUCAACCCUCUCAUCGGGAGAUCACAUGUUGUGGCGAGCCUCAAAACCGCCACAGCGUGUGAUCUCACGAUGAGGGGGAGCACUUUUGUGUCCGCUGGUUAACAUCAAUUUCGAACGUCAUAAAAAGGCUGGAGGGAUGUGGCUCCUUCGGGAGUGCUAUAACCUUUAGCGGAAUGUGGUGGUCGGGAUUGAGGAUUGCAACGAAUACCUUUAGGGCUGUUCCACCUGGCUUCUCUUUGGUAUCCUGGUGACGACAGCUUGCUGACGUUGUUAGGAUUCGCCUUUGAACAGGCUAGAGUGUGAGCAAAUUCGUUAAGGGUGUUGACGUAAUGGCUUUAAACGAC